GUGCCAGCCGCCGCGGUAAUACGGAGGGUGCAAGCGUUGUUCGGAAUUACUGGGCGUAAAGCGCGUGUAGGCGGUUGGGUAAGUCAGAUGUGAAAGCCUUCCGCUCAACGGAAGAAGUGCAUUUGAAACUGCCUGGCUAGAGUACGGGAGAGGAGAGUGGAAUUCCCGGUGUAGAGGUGAAAUUCGUAGAUAUCGGGAGGAACACCAGUGGCGAAAGCGGCUCUCUGGUCCGAUACUGACGCUGAGACGCGAAAGCGUGGGGAGCAAACAGGAUUAGAUACCCUGGUAGUCCACGCCGUAAACGAUGGGCACUAGGUGUAGGAGGUAUUGACCCCUUCUGUGCCGAAGCUAACGCAUUAAGUGCCCCGCCUGGGGAGUACGGCCGCAAGGCUAAA
rnacentral:rRNA from 1 species